rnacentral:lncRNA from 1 species
AAAUAAUUGAGCUUACACAAUGUUAUUUUCAUGCUAUUGCUAAGCCUCUUGCCUUACCAGUUGGCUCAAUUGUCAAAAAGUUAUCAAAACCACACCUACUGAGCUUCUUCUUAACAAAAGGCUCUAUGUUUUUUGUCUCCAUGAGAAAAAUGACCUCCGGGAAAUAGGCUAGACAAUACUCUUUCAACUGAUGGAAAUUCAAAGGGUUCUCCACACCCUGACAGUUCCAGCUAAAAAUCUUCAGGGAUGGGGUUAGGGCUAUUUAUGGCUGGCUACCUCCACCAACGCUUAAUCAGAUUGUAUUUUGGAUGCUUUUCUAGUUCCAUGUUCCUCCACAAUUUUAGACAUUCUUAACCUCUUAUCUGGUUUCAUCCAUGUUUCUUGUAGACUCACUCAAGCUUCAUUC